GCGAGCGCAGGAUGUUAAUCUGCACUAAUUUCUCUUCUGAAUUUUUUAUUUGGAUCACAGAAGCAGACGUCUGGGAAGAUCAGAAGAAACAGAAUGGUCCUCCACAGCUGCUUUGGUUAUGUGAGGAGACACUAAGCCAGAGAUGAAUCAUUGAGGAACGUAAGACAAACAAGUGGGUGAGAUAACAUUUCACCUCACCUGUCUAAUCCUAAUGAAACCCGACGCGUGUUCUGAUGAGAGCAUCACCGUCAGGAGGCUCGGCGGUGCUGGAGGAGUGGAUACAGGUGGAGCAGGGCAUCACGCUGAAGGUGUGGUCAUAUGGCUCCAGCCCCAGUGAUGUGCCUGGAUCAGCAGCCUACAGCGCGCCUGAGGGCACUGAAUGCCUGGAGGAGGUAUGAGCUGAACAACAAGUAAAUUAAAGAUAGGAUGAAUGCCACUCUACAAAGGCCGUAGUGUGUGAGUGUGUGUGUUGGGGGGGAGGGGUCCUUAUGUGAGCAUCUGCAUCACCAAACAAAAGCACCUUGACUUCUGAUGUACCUGUUCUCCUCCCUUAAACUGUCCUGCGUAUCGUCCUGGUGUAUCAAAGCUCCACGUUUGAUACCCCAUCAAAAACCCUUACAAAACACAACCUGUCUUCUUUUCCUCUUCUCUUCUUCACAGGAACACCACCUUCAAACACAUGCAGGGUGCGGGAAGGAAGGACGAGGAGAGUGGAACCAAAUGCGAGGGUUUUUAUUAAACAAACAACAAAAGACAAAAAUAAACAAGUAAACUGGAACUAAACUGAAAACA
rnacentral:lncRNA from 1 species